rnacentral:rRNA from 1 species
GACGAACGCUGGCGGCGUGCCUAAUACAUGCAAGUCGAGCGAAUCUUUUGGGAGCUUGCUCCCAAAAGAUUAGCGGCGGACGGGUGAGUAACACGUGGGCAACCUGCCUAUAAGAUUGGGAUAACUUCGGGAAACCGGAGCUAAUACCGGAUACGUUCUUUUUUCGCAUGAGAGAAGAUGGAAAGACGGCUUCUAGCUGUCACUUAUAGAUGGGCCCGCGGCGCAUUAGCUAGUUGGUGGGGUAAUGGCUCACCAAGGGGACGAUGCGUAGCCGGCCUGAGAGGGUGAUCGGCCACACUGGGACUGGGACACGGCCCAGACUCCUACGGGAGGCAGCAGUAGGGAAUCUUCCGCAAUGGACGAAAGUCUGACGGAGCAACGCCGCGUGAACGAAGAAGGCCUUCGGGUCGUAAAGUUCUGUUGUUAGGGGAGAACAAGUACCAGAGUAACUGCUGGUACCUUGACGGUACCUAACCAGAAAGCCACGGCUAACUACGUGCCAGCCGCCGCGGUAACAC